rnacentral:lncRNA from 1 species
UCCAAAUACACCUGGCUAACACUUUUACCUUCCAAAGGCCGUGUUUUUGAGUCUUUCUCAAAUUUUUACAGCUUCAUCUCAACUCAAUACAAUGCUAAAAUCAAGAGCUUGCAGACUGACAAUGGAAGUGAAUACACCAGCAAUGAGUUUAAAGCCUUCACAUCUAUGCAUGGGAUUGUACACCAGAUAUCUUGUCCUUACACUCCCCAACAAAAUAGUGUAGCUAAGCACAAGAACCGUCACCUUAUGGAAGUUGCAAGAACUAUUGUGUUCCACAAAAAUGUUCCAAAACACUUCUGGGGUGAUGCUGUUUCAGUCGCCUGCUAUCUAAUCAACCAACUUCCAACCAAAUGUCGUAAGAACAUAUUACCUUAUGAGGUACUCAACAAAACUAAACCACCUUUAGAUUUUCUAAAAGUAUUUGAGUGUGUUUUCUAUGUCCAUGUUCCAGAUGACCAAAGGAACAAGUUUCAGCCUAAUAUUGUAGAGUGCAUAUUCAUUGGGUACUCCACAACUCAGAAAGGUUACAAGUGCUAUAACCUUUGUGUCUCGAUAUGUCAAAUUUGAUGAAGACAAAGGCUUCUAUGAAGAAAAUGACUGGGACAUGCUGAAGGACUUGACUACCUCUCACUCUGAUCUUGCUUCCAACCUGCGAUAUCUCCUUGAAAAUCUCAAACUUCCUAAGAGAACAGAAGCUACUCCACAAUCCGGAGAAGAACCUGACAAUGGUAAAACAGAUAUGGACAUUGAUCAAGAUAAAUCAGGAAAGGGACACAGAAGCAGUAACAGGUCAUGAAGACAGCUAGACCCAGAGUGACGCAAAUUCCCAAGACUCCUCUAAAGAUUCUGAUGCUAAAGAAGACAAUGAAACCUCGACUGAUCCUAACGAUCACGAAGACACUAGUCAAAACGAUGAGGAAGAUUCUGAUGCAUUUGAUGAUGUCCAAAACUUGGAGACAGCCAUUCUAGGAGGUUACGGUGUGGAGGUUCGGAUUUUCGUUUGCGGAAGCGGUGGCGGCGACUCUGAUGGUCGCAUGGUUUUUGCGAUUAGGGUUCUUUGUGUCUCCCGGUUUAACCGAUUUGGCAAUCUUUGGUUUUUGGUUUAAUUCUUAACUGGGCUUUAUGAGGAUUUGCGGUUUGGGAUUUUUUCCAGGUUUUUUAGUUUCUCCUUCUG